GAGAGCCAUCGGGGGUAGAUCUAUCUCAUGACGAGUGGUGGAAUACUUUGACUCAUGAGAGAGAAGCUGAGGCGAAAGCGUCUACCUAGAGGGUUUCUGUCGAUCAAGGGCGAGAGUAGGAGUAUCCAACAGGAUUAGAGACCCUGGUAGUUCCUACCUUAAACGAUGCCGACAGGAGUUUGUCAUUUGUUAAUGGCAGAAUCUUUGGAGAAAUCAUAGUUCUUGGGCUCUGGGGGAACUACGACCGCAAGGCUGAAACUUGAAGGAAUUGACGGAAGGGCACACCAGGGGUGGAGCCUGUGGCUUAAUUUGAAUCAACACGGGGAAACUUACCAGGACCAGAUGUUUUUUAUGACUGACAGGCUUCGGGUCUUUCAGGAUAUUGUUUUUGGUGGUGCAUGGCCGUUGGUGGUGCGUGGGUUGACCUGUCUAGCGUUGAUUCAGCUAACGAGCGAGAUUAUCGCCAAUUAUUUACUUUGCCGAAGUCCUUCGGUUAAAGUUCUAAUUGGGACUCCCUGCGAUUUUAGCAGGUGGAAGAGGGUAGCAAUAACAGGUCCGUGAUGCCCUUUAGAUGCUCUGGGCUGCACGCGUGCUACAAUGUUAGGAUCAAUAGGACUGCGAGCCUGAGAGGGUGCGCUACUCUUAUAAUCCCUAACGUAGUUGGGAUUGACGUUUGUAAUCAGCGUCAUGAACCAGGAAUCCCUUGUAAAUGUGUGUCAACAACGCACGUUGAAUACGUCCCUGCCCUUUGUACACACCGCCCGUCGCUCCUACCGAUUGGAUGACUCGGUGAAAUCACCGGAUGCUUACGAGCAGAAAGUGAUUAAAUCACGUUAUCUAGAGGAAGGAGAAGUCGUAACAAGGUAACGGUAGGUGAACCUGCCGUUGGAUCAGUU
rfam:Trichomonas vaginalis G3, whole genome shotgun sequence.